rnacentral:rRNA from 1 species
GGCGUGCCUAAUACAUGCAAGUCGAGCGAACAGACGAGGAGCUUGCUCCUCUGACGUUAGCGGCGGACGGGUGAGUAACACGUGGAUAACCUACCUAUAAGACUGGGAUAACUUCGGGAAACCGGAGCUAAUACCGGAUAAUAUAUUGAACCGCAUGGUUCAAUAGUGAAAGACGGUUUUGCUGUCACUUAUAGAUGGAUCCGCGCCGCAUUAGCUAGUUGGUAAGGUAACGGCUUACCAAGGCAACGAUGCGUAGCCGACCUGAGAGGGUGAUCGGCCACACUGGAACUGAGACACGGUCCAGACUCCUACGGGAGGCAGCAGUAGGGAAUCUUCCGCAAUGGGCGAAAGCCUGACGGAGCAACGCCGCGUGAGUGAUGAAGGUCUUCGGAUCGUAAAACUCUGUUAUUAGGGAAGAACAAAUGUGUAAGUAACUAUGCACGUCUUGACGGUACCUAAUCAGAAAGCCACGGCUAACUACGUGCCAGCAGCCGCGGUAAUACGUAGGUGGCAAGCGUUAUCCGGAAUUAUUGGGCGUAAAGCGCGCGUAGGCGGUUUUUUAAGUCUGAUGUGAAAGCCCACGGCUCAACCGUGGAGGGUCAUUGGAAACUGGAAAACUUGAGUGCAGAAGAGGAAAGUGGAAUUCCAUGUGUAGCGGUGAAAUGCGCAGAGAUAUGGAGGAACACCAGUGGCGAAGGCGACUUUCUGGUCUGU